UAGGGAAUCUUCGGCAAUGGACGGCAGUCUGACCAAGCAACGCCGCGUGAGUGAAGAAGGUUUUCGGAUCGUAAAGCUCUGUUGUUAGAGAAGAACGUUGGUAGGAGAGGAAAAUUUACUAAGUGACGGUAACUAACCAGAAAGGGACGGCUAACUACGUGACAGCAGCCGCGGUAAUACGUAGGUCCCGAGCGUUGUCCGGAAUUAUUGGGCGUAAAGCGAGCGCAGGCGGUUCUGUAAGUCUGAAGUUAAAGGCAGUGGCUUAACCAUUGUACGCUUUGGAAGCGGGAGGACUUGAGUGCAGAAGGGGAGGGUGGAAUUCCAGGUGUAGCGGUGAAAUGCGUAGUUAUAUGGAGGAACACCGGUGGCGAAAGCGGCUCUCUGGUCUGUGACUGACGCGGAGGCUCGAAAGCGUGGGGAGCAAACAGG
rnacentral:rRNA from 1 species